CAUCAAAAUGCACAACCUCAGCCUUGUGCAUUCAGAAAAAUUAAAAUAAAAAAAAAAUGAUACAAAAACCACCACCCAUGGAUUUGGAAAAUAUAGUGGAGAUCAAUUCCAGACAUCAAUGACUGAGUUUACAGUUCGAAAUUUUCCUCCACGCCAUCCAGAACGAGUGAAACGAAUCUUAUGUUUAGUAGAGACUACAAUACCUGAGUGUGAUCCACAGACUUGUAGUGUCUGCACCCUCCGACCACUUGUUGAUGUGUUCGCUCUAAUCCAAACAACAUUCAACAAUUCUAUGUCGAGUAUAAAAAUGACGUCAGAGACUCCUUGCCCGCCACACUAUUGGAUGAAGUCCGUUCGAGUGGCAAUCAAGAUGUGCAAGUUCGUAUUACAAAUAAAUUGCGAGGAAAGCAUUUUGUUCCCCUCAACAGUUGU